UUGAGUCUUAAGUGAAAAAUUUCUUUCAUUUUUCCUAGCUGUAAUUUUGGAGAAUCAUAGACUUUAGCGGUGAAAGAAAACCCAAGGCAAUGUCUGGGCCACCUUUCUGACUUUGGUGGAAAGUGGCUCUCAUUUUGUCGUUACUGCUCCCUUGCAGCCACCUAAAAGACUAUACACUUCAGGAAGGCAUUGGAAACCCAUCUUACAUCUUUCUUUUUCCUAGUGCCACUUGCUGAUCAUAGUACCUCCUGAUUACAUCUUAUCUCUGCCCUUCUGAGGCUUAUCCUAUCUGCUACCCCUCUCUCUGCUUCUCUAUGUUGCUGUCAUUUAUCACCCUCCCAGUUGCUUGCUCUCAUUCAAUGAAGAUUAACCAACUAGCUAAUUCUCUUCCUCUCUACCUUAAGUCUUACCAUUAUCCUGGGUUACUUCCAGGUCUAUAUGAACAACACACAGCAUUUUCUACAAGUUUCUUGACUUUUUCGCUUCCAUUAACUUUCCUUUCUACUUCACUUUAGCCGACUCUCUGUAGAUAGAUAUAUCUCAGACAUCACCUAGAAUUGUUCCACCUCUGACUAAAAACAAACAUCCCAUUUUGGAUCAAUCCACCAGUCUUUCUAGAUACCUUAUUGACGUGGUCUUCAAUCUAUACCCUUCAACCUUAUAGGAAAUUUGUGACUGAGGCAGCUAGCUAUGUAUCAAAGAUUCAUGUUCUCUUUCCUUAAUGCAGGGUUUAUGCUAGAAAGUGGCUGCCCAGCCAAGUAUUAUAUUUCUUAGCUCCUCUUGCAUUUAGGUGGAGGUCCUAAUUCUUGCCAAAGACCCUGAGUGUAAGUGAUGUGUGAUAAUUCCAAGUCCAGGUGGUUAAGAAGAAAAUGUACUUUCUCCAGGUUGCUGGCUGAAUGUCAUGCCCAUAAGUGACCUUGGAAAGCAUAUGUUGAAAAUAUCAGGUCAUCUGUUAACCUAGGGCUUGGAAUGACUGUCGAAGCAGAACCCCUCAUCUAUCUUAAUCAGGAACACUCAAGUGAGCAAGUUAUUGUAUUAAGUAAUUUAAAUAUUGGUGUUUGUUAUAACAGCCAGUAUUGCUCUGAUUAUUAUUAAUAACUAAGUAUCUAUUUCCUUAAUCUUCCCCUGUCAACCUUCUUCACACUUUUCUGUACUCAGUUUUGAUUCCUUGGCUAACUCUGUCUUGCUAAUCUUGAACCACGUGAACCUUUGUCUUUAUCUCCCUCCUGCUGGGAAAAAUCACAGAUUGGGAUUAGUCUAACUAUGUGCUAUUUUGCUGAUGUCUCUGCUAUUCCGGGCUGCUGGAGAAUAUUGCAUAACUAUGUAGAUUUGCAUCACUACAAAUUCAUUGUCUCCAACCUCACAUAAGUACUCAAGUCUACACAAUUUUUCUAUUUUCUCAAGUCAACUUGCUUUCGUAUUCUCCUUAAAGGUUACUUCAAGCAUCCAUACUCAGCCCAUUAUUCAGCCCACUGCAGUCUUUAUGCACCGCCAUGACCCCCUAAACUUGAGCAGUGUUGAUCCCUCCCUCUCUCUUGGUGCGCUCUUCCCUUGGCUUCUGUGAUAACCCACGUUCCCGGUCUCUCUUUGUUUUUUCGCUUUCUCAUUCACAUUCCCUUUGAGAACUUCUAUUCCUCUACCCCUUCUUGAAUGUUGCUGUUCCUAAAAGUUCUAUACAAGGCUCUUCUCUAUGUAAUAUAAUCUUCAUCUCUUCCCAUGGCUAUAAGCUUGUUCCAUAUGCUGGUAACUCCCAAAAUUUUAUCUUCAAGUCCUGUCUUCCUCCUAAGCUUCAGAGACUUUAUUUCCAGCAACCAGCUACAUAUUUACAUGCAUAUGCUCACAGCACCUCGAAGUCAGCACGUCCUGAAGUGAGAACAUCAUCUUCUGUGCCAGUCUGCCUCUUCUGUGAAACACUGGAAAUAGCACCACCUUACUGCCUAUGCUGGAAAUUGGCACUUUAGAGAUGUCAACCCAUUCACUUUUGAUCGCCAUCAUUUCUGAUGGGAAAUAAGCAGUCAAAUAAAUCAUUGUUCAAAUGUAUGUAAGUGUUGUUUCUUCUGACUACUUUCAAGA